ACACCUGCCCAGUGACAAUUAAACGGCCGCGGUACCCUAACCGUGCAAAGGUAGCAUAAUCAUUUGUCUAUUAAUUGUAGACCUGUAUGAAAGGUAAAAUGAGGACCUUACUGUCUCUUAUAAUAAGUCAAUUAAACUGAUCUCCUAGUUCAAAAGCUAGAAUACUCACAUAAGACCAGAAGACCCUGUGAAGCUUAAACUAAACUAUUAAACCCUAUAAUAGCUCCUUUCGGUUGGGGCGACCUUGGAAAAAAAGAGAACUUCCAACAUACAAUCCUAUAAAUUUCACCCAGGCUGACAAGCCACCAAAGACCCAGCACAGCUGAUAAUUGAACCAAGUUACUCCAGGGAUAACAGCGCUAUCUUCUUCAAGAGCCCAUAUCAAAAAGAAGGUUUACGACCUCGAUGUUGGAUCAGGACAUCCUAAUGGUGCAGCAGCUAUUAAGGGUUCGUUUGUUCAACGAUUAAUAGUCCUACGUGAUCUG
rnacentral:rRNA from 1 species